GAUGAACGCUGGCGGCGUGCCUAAUACAUGCCAGUCGAGCGAACAGACGAGGAGCUUGCUCCUCUGACGUUAGCGGCGGACGGGUGAGUAACACGUGGAUAACCUACCUAUAAGACUGGGAUAACUUCGGGAAACCGGAGCUAAUACCGGAUAAUAUAUUGAACCGCAUGGUUCAAUAGUGAAAGACGGUUUUGCUGUCACUUAUAGAUGGAUCCGCGCCGCAUUAGCUAGUUGGUAAGGUAACGGCUUACCAAGGCAACGAUGCGUAGCCGACCUGAGAGGGUGAUCGGCCACACUGGAACUGAGACACGGUCCAGACUCCUACGGGAGGCAGCAGUAGGGAAUCUUCCGCAAUGGGCGAAAGCCUGACGGAGCAACGCCGCGUGAGUGAUGAAGGUCUUCGGAUCGUAAAACUCUGUUAUUAGGGAAGAACAAAUGUGUAAGUAACUAUGCACGUCUUGACGAUACCUAAUCAGAAAGCCACGGCUAACUACGUG
rnacentral:rRNA from 1 species